GAGGAAAACAAUUAAACUACCAACAAUAAAGCACAAUAAUUAUUUGAUUAAAGUUUUAAAAUGUCAAAUAAAUUUGUAGUUGCUUUGUUGUUGGCGGUGUGCCUUGUAACUGUUCAAGGUCAGAAUAUUACCUAUAAUGCAGACUCAGGCAAAAUGAGUGUGACUCAUGAAGAUUGCUACAGUUCUUGCACCGGUGGAACUAAAUUUACUAUAAUCUUUAUACAUUUUGCGUGUAAAGGACAUUGUUAUUUCUUCAAUCGUUGAAUCUUUUGAUAAUUUGGGCGCAAGGAAGCAUGGUCGAAUUGGUGCUCCUACAAGAUAUUCUGACCCAGUUCCAUAUGCUUAUAAAGCAUAAUGGAUUUAACCAAAAAAACACAAAUUUAGGUCAUGUCAUCAUCCUCUUUCCCCGUAUUGUCGUCAAUUAUUUGUUAACUAUUAUAUAUAAUUAAAUUUAUUUAACGUAAGUUAAUUUAUCAAUUAUAUGUUAUUUUUCCAAA